UUAUUUAUAAUAUUAUAUUUGUUUUUUGUUUAUUUUAUUAUUUAAUAAAAAUAAUUUUAUUAUUUGUUAGUUUUAGUAUAUUUUAUAGAAUUAAUUAUAUAUAUUAUAGUUUAUUAGUAAUGUAAGUGGAUUAUGAAAUAAUUUAUUUAAAUUUAUUAAAGUAAAUUUAAUUUAUUGUACCUUUUGUAUCAGGGUUUAUCAAAAUUUUAGUGGUUAUUUACUUAUCUCGAUUUAGGUUGAUUUACAAAUAAUUUAUAGUUGAUGUGUCAUAAUUAUUAUUAAAUUAUUUGUAGAAAUGAUAUGUUAAUCGUUUCCUAAGGUAUCUAGUUUCUUAAGAAAAAAUUUAAUUUUUUAUGGUUAAUUUGUUUUUGUUUAAUUUUUUAAGUAAAAAUAUUAACUUAUUUAUUUUUUAGGGGAUAAGCUCUAAAAUUUUUAUUCUAUAAUUUUAAAAAUUAAAAAUAUGUAAUAGUAGGCUUUAAACCAGCUAUCUUAAAGAUUACGUUUUAGUUCAUUAUUUUUAAAUUUGAUUUUAUAAUUAUUUUAGUUUUUUUAUUAAGAUUUUUAAUUUAAUUUUUAAAUUUUUGUAAUAAUGGUGAAAUUAGUAUAUUUAUUAUGUUUAUAAUGUCUUUUUUUGUUAAUUUAUUAUAAGGAACUAGGCAAAAUUGAUUUUCGCCUGUUUAUCAAAAACAUGUCCUUUUGAUAAUAUUUUAAGGUCUGGCCUGCUCACUGACAAGGUUUUAAAGAGCCGCGGUAUUUUGACCGUGCAAAGGUAGCAUAAUCAUUAGUUUCUUAAUUAGGGGCUGGAAUGAAUGGCUUGACGAAAAAUCAACUGUCUCUUAAUAAUUUUUAAAAUUUAACUUUUAAGUUAAAAGGCUUAAAUUUUUCUUUAGGACAAGAAGACCCUAUAGAGCUUAACAUUUUAGUUUUAUAUGAUUUUUAGUUAAUCUUUUCAUAUUUAAUAGUAAUGUUUUGUUGGGGUGACGUGAAGAAUAGAUAAACUCUUCAUUAUUAAAUCAUUGAUUUAUGUAUAUUAUGAUCCAUAUUUUAUGAUCUUAAGAUUAAGUUACCUUAGGGAUAACAGCGUAAUUGUUUUUGAGAGCUCAUAUCAACAAAGCAGAUUGCGACCUCGAUGUUGGAUUAAGAAAAGUUUUGGGUGUAGUAGCUCAAUGAUUAGGUCUGUUCGACCUUUAAAUUCUUACAUGAUCUGAGUUCAGACCGGCGUGAGCCAGGUCGGUUUCUAUCCUAAGUUAUAAGUACUCGUAUUAGUACGAAAGGACCAUGCGGGUGAAAUAUUUUUUUUUAUAUUGAUUAAUAUUAAUUAUUU
rnacentral:rRNA from 1 species